UACGUAGGGUGCGAGCGUUGUCCGGAAUUAUUGGGCGUAAAGGGCUCGUAGGCGGUUUGUCGCGUCGGGAGUGAAAACACUGGGCUUAACUCAGUGCUUGCUUCCGAUACGGGCAGACUGGAGGUAUUCAGGGGAGAACGGAAUUCCUGGUGUAGCGGUGAAAUGCGCAGAUAUCAGGAGGAAUACCGGUGGCGAAGGCGGCAUCCUGGACCGACAUUGACGCUGAGGAGCGAAAGCUAGGGGAGCAAACGGG
rnacentral:rRNA from 1 species